ACCACUGCUAAUCUAUACUGCUGCCAAUCUAUCUAUUGCUGCUAAUCUAUCACUGCUGCCAAUCUAUCUAUCACUGUUAAUCUAUCUAUUGCUGUCAAUCUAUCUAUCACUGCUAAUCUAUCACUGCUAAUCUAUCACUGCUAAUCUAUCACUGCUAAUCUAUCUAUCACUGCUAAUCUAUCACUGCCAAUCUAUCUACCACUGCCAAUCUAUCUACUGCUGCCAACCUACCUACCACUGCUAAUCUAUCACUGCUAAUCUAUCACUACCAAUCUAUAUAGAGUAAAUCAUGGUCCCAUUUGGUCCCAUUUUGUAAAAUGGGAUCAAAUGAGACUGAAAUCACUAAUUUAUUAGUAAAACAUAAUCUGGGACUAGAUUUAUAAUAUAAACAGUGUAAAGUGACUAAUUUACUAAACACUAUAUGGAACCAGAACUAAGAUAUCUAAUAAUGAAACUGAGGAAAAAUUUGAUCUCAGUCCCAUGCAUGGUCACACAGCC
rnacentral:sRNA from 2 species